rnacentral:misc_RNA from 1 species
CAUUAUGGUGUGGAAGAUAAACAGCCUGGAAAUGUGUUUGUUGGUUGAUGUAUUGUCAUUAGCUCAGCUAAAGUAUAAGCAUGUGCUCUAAGCCUUCAGUUGACAAUACAUCAACCAACAAACACAUUUCCAGGCUGUUUAUCUUCCACACCAUAAUGCUACAAACAUAUAAAUAGAUGGAACCAAUGUCCUGGCAGGCACCAUAGAUUUACUUUGAAUAGUCAUUGUCUAAACAUAACACAGAACAUGGGCUUAUAAGAGACAAACUACAAGCUUCAUAUAUUCCAAAAUGCUUAAAAUACUAAGACGUCCAAAGCCACCAACUUCAAAAUUCCAGCAGAAGAAUGAAAAGUUUGCAAUAUGGCUAAAGCUAAUAGCUUAAAAGAGAUAGUUUUCAUCAUCACUGGAGGUGUCGCCUGAUCCAAUAUCCAUCUGCAUUAAUAAAAAAGCCAUAUCAUCUUCAUCAAAAUAAUCCUCAGCAUCAAAGAUGUCCAGUUCAUCUUCUUCAAAUAAGUGUUCAAAAACAUCAAACAAUGUCAUAUUAUCCACAAAACUGGUUCUGCGAGGACGUGGUCUCCGUGGAGGAGGUCUGUGAUAUUUCCACGUGUAUGAGCCUGGCUUGACAGUAUGCUUGUAAAAACAACUUGUCCCAAAGGGGCAGUUCCCAUUCCCAAAGUCAAAAUACUUGCAGUCUAUAGACCUUAGUUUUGCCUUGUAGCUAUCAAUAAUUUCCUGCUUUUCUUCUUUAGAGGA